rfam:Schistosoma haematobium scaffold2494_2, whole genome shotgun sequence.
AUUCAGCUGACCAGUCCCAAAUAGGACGAAGUGAUGCGCAUCCUGGAU